rnacentral:tRNA from 1 species
GGAGAGGUACCGAAGUGGUCGUAACGGGGGCGCCUCGAAAGCGUCUUGUCGGGAAACCGGCACGUGGGUUCGAAUCCCACCCUCUCCGCCA